CUCUACGCGUUUUGGUCCCUGUUUGGUGCUUUCUGUUUGCAGCUACGGCAGUGAGUAUGUAUGUGACGGACCCCGAGUCACCCGCGGCCUGGGACCCCUGCCUACCCUCCGUCUCGCCAGCCGAGCUGUGGAACUAGCGCGUGCCCCCUCGCCGACCUCGGCGUCUCCGGUCCGCCCCUCACUUGUGGUGGGGCGCAGCUCCUGGUCCCUCAGCUGCGCGCCGCCCCACGCGGCCGGGCUGCGGGUCUAGGGGGUCCGCAUCUCCCUGGCUUUCCAAGGGCUAAGGUCGUGAUUCUAGGGCGGCUGGGCGUCCAGGGCCUCGGUGGGGGUGGCGUGUCUGCCCUUUUUAUCUCCCCGCAAGGCCCCCAGUCUUCUAGGGAAGCCAGUCAGUGAAGCGCGGAGGUCCGGGCGCGCCGAGAGAGAGUCCAGUCUUUGAGGACCGAGUAGUCCUGGGCCACCUCCCGCCUCUGCUGUCAGAAGCAGCAGCUGCCGCCGUGGAAUCCAAAAUUUCGGGAGCUGUGACCCUUUCCUCAUGUAAAACGAGUAGUCUUGGACGAUCUGGGCAUAGGAACCAAUCAGAAACAAUCGCUUCAGCAAUCAAGACCAUUGUUCAUCAUGGAGGAACCCAUGGAUACCUCUGAGCCUCUAUCUGCAUUACCAUUCACUGGGCAGCAGUCUUUUGAGCCAAGUGGCAAAUUUGGACAGUAUCCAUCGAUGCAGAUGAACCACAUCCAGGCACUGGGGAAGUGGAGGACAUAGAACAGCUCAAUCAGUGUUUGAUCCAACACUUCCAUCUCAUUAAGACAAGUUUGAUUUUUCUUUGCUUUUUAUUUCAUGGAAUACAUGAGAAUCUCUUAACUGUUGGAGUUUCCAAGGAGGCAUACCUCAUGACUUCAGUUAAUGGAAAGAACAAAACUAAAAUGCUGUAUGGCCAAAGCCACAAAGGGAAGGAUCCACAAUUUACAUUCUUGGAGCUAUCAUCUGUACUGUACUGUUGUGAUCUACUGAUUGGCAUUGGCAUAGUAGUAGGGGUCAAGUGACAGAAUCCGUGCCAGCAGUCUCCAGGUUCAGAAGCAAUUCAAGACCCUGAUGAUAGCUCUCCAGCAACCAACACAUGGUGAUUGUGCCAACUUGUUGCUCAGUUAUAAUGCAGGGCCAGUGAUUGGUUUAAGUGAAGACCAUGGUUGAGAUCAUUUGUCUUUGGUCUAAUAGAAUUUGAGUCUAGUAGAAUUUGAGUCUCCAGGGAAAGAGCUACUUGACCAAAUUAAACUAGUAGCAGGUAGAGCAUGAAUGACAGCAUAUUAUACCCUACUCUGUGUAGGGUGUAAGCAGUACUGGGGACUUACAGUGAUAAAAGACAUAGUUUUAGCCUUAAGUGAUGUACUGUUUCACUGAAGAGAUGGAAUAUAAGAAGCCAAGUAAUUUAUGGAAUUCUCUUCUUUGUUUUUCUUUUUUUUUUUUGGCAGUGGAGUCUUGCUCUUUAAAUAGAGCAAGGCUAGUCUGGAACUCCUGGGCUCAUGUGGUCCUCCCGCCUUAGCUUUCAGUGUAGCUGGGACUACAGGUGUGAACACAGCUUGGAAAUCUCUUAACCAUGGGAGUUAAGUCUCAAAAUUCUGGUGAUACAAGUGGUUGAAACUUAAAACUGUAUUUAAAAAAUAGGAUUCGUGAAUUUGAGAUAGUUCAUAAGUCUGCAAAAGGCUGUAUAAAUACAUAUUUUACAUUUACUAUUAUUAAUUUUGUAGUAAAUUUGAGUACAGCACUCUCUUUAUCUGUGGAAACUUCAGACUCUCCCCUAUUACUUUAAUUUCAGUGAGACAUUAUUAAAUAUAAGUGGGCUUACACAUUUGUUUUGCUUUACUGACAAAUAAUACACAACUUGGAGGCUUUUUUUUCCUUUCUAUUCUUCCUCUAAAUGUUCAACACUUUUCUGAUUUUGUGAUUUGAGGUUGUUUAAUAGCUUCCUGAGGCUCCAUUGAGACCGUAUAUACGUGACACUUAACAGUCUAGCCUUCCUCGGUACAUAUAGAUAUAUGAUGGUGGCUUUGCCUGUAGUAAAUUCAUGCCAAAACAUAGGCUUUCAGUGCCUAUUACAUAUGGCUUUCAGCUCUCUCUACUGAGGGAUGUAGGAGUUUAUUUCUGAGGUCUGAGCCUCUUUUCCUUUACUUCCUUUACUCUUUCCUAAGCCUUCUUUAUAAAAACUAUGCAUGUUCUAUUGUUUUCCUUUUUGAUUCCCUUUCUUUUAUUAUCCCCAGUAGGAGUGACUUGUAAUUCUCAUAUGUUAGAAAGGCAGAUCUCCUGGUUGAAGAAAAGAUCCACCCAAGCAAGUCAGCAUGUUUAAUAAUUUUUGAGGGGGAUCUCAAAUGUGGGAAGGAUUGUUAUAUAAGACAACCAAAUGAUGACAUGAGACAAUAAAUGCUAUAGGAAUUAUGGAGGAAUAAUUAGCUAUUUAUUUUCUUGGUUAGGGAAGAGAUAUUAUUAGUUGUAGAAGUAAUUACUAACUUCUACAUUUUUUAUUGUGGAAAUCAAAAAUAUAUAUAUGAAAAUAAAAUGUUAUAAUUGACUUCAGUGUCCCAUAAACCAGCUUCAACAAUUACCAAAUUGUGACCAAUCUUUACACACAUGCACAGGUGUCCCUCAGUAUCUGUGGGGCAUUGGUUCUAGGACCACUUAUGGAUACCAACAUCUAUGGAUGCUCAAGUCCCUGAUAUAAAAUGGUGGACUAUUUGCAUAUAACCUGUGUACAUCCCGUAUUAUUUAAAUCAUCCCUAGAUCACUUAUAAUACGUAAUACAAUGUAAAUGCCAUGUAAAUAACUGUUAUACUGUAUUAAGGAAUAACAACAAGAAAAAUGUACAUGUUCAGUACAGACGCAAUUUUUUUUGUGUGUGGAAUAUUUUCAUUCCAAGGUCAGUUGAACCCAUGGACAUAGGAGGCUGACUGUGUGUGUGUGUGUGUGUGUGUGUGUGUGUGUGUGCAUACAGACACACAUAUUUCUGAAAUGUAAAUAUUCUCUUCUUAAAAAAAUUAUUAUCACAGCUAAACAAAUUACCAGUAAUUCUUUUAUCCUCAUAUACCCGGUGUUCAGAUUUUCUAGAUUGGCUCCUAAUUUUUUUACAGAUUAUUUGAAUCUGAUUCAAUUCAUGUACUGUAAUGUUUGAUAACUUAAGUACCCUUUAUAGGUUCUCUUUUACCUCUUCUUUAUUAAAUUCCUUGUAAUUUGUUGUACUAAAUAGAUUGUCUUCUAGAAUUUCCUGUAGUCUGAAUUAUGUAGUAUUGUUUCACAUGUUCCAGUGUCCUCUUAUUUCCUGUGAGUUGGUAGUUAGAUCUAGAAGCUUGAUUAAAUUCAGAUUUUCUCUCUUUAGAUCAUCAACUUUAGAUCAUCAACUUGGAUCAUUUGUUUCAUUUUGCUUUUGAUAUGUUGUUUUUUAGAAUUACCUCUUAAAAUUUUGAUUUAAUUUUAUAAUCAUGUAAAAUGUUUAUAAAUUUCCAAAUUCAGAUCAGCAAAACACAAUAAAAUCUAUUCAGAGAAGGCAAACCUUCUGUCCAGUCUCCAUCCUGUUCCUGCUCUUCCCCUUAUGGGUAACCAUUAAGAGAAAAUUGGUGGUUGGUCCUUACAUUUAAAAAUAUAUAUAAUCAA
rnacentral:lncRNA from 1 species